CAGUAGCCGCGGUAAAACGAAGGGUGCAAGCGUUACUCGGAAUUACUGGGCGUAAAGCGUGCGUAGGUGGUGGUUUAAGUCCGUUGUGAAAGCCCUGGGCUCAACCUGGGAAUUGCAGUGGAUACUGGGUCACUAGAGUGUGGUAGAGGAUAGUGGAAUUUCCGGUGUAGCAGUGAAAUGCGUUGAGAUCGGAAGGAACGCCCGUGGCGAAAGCGAGGUCCUGGACGUUUUCUGACGCUGAGACGCGAAAGCUAGGGGAGCGAACGGGAUUAGAUACCCCAGUAGUCCCUGUCUCUUAUAC
rnacentral:rRNA from 1 species